rnacentral:rRNA from 1 species
CCUACGGGAGGCAGCAGUGGGGAAUUUUGGGCAAUGGGCGCAAGCCUGACCCAGCGACGCCGCGUGGAGGAUGAAGGCCUUCGGGUUGUAAACUCCUGUCAGGUGGGAAGAAAUCUCUGCCGGUGAAUAUCCGGCAGCGUUGACGGUACCACCAAAGGAAGCCACGGCUAACUCUGUGCCAGCAGCCGCGGUAAGACAGAGGUGGCGAGCGUUGUUCGGAUUUAUUGGGCGUAAAGCGAACGCAGGUGGUUUGGUAAGUCAGAGGUGAAAGACCACAGCUUAACUGUGGCACUGCCUUUGAUACUGCCUUUCUAGAGUGCAUGAGGGGGAAGCGGAAUUCCGAGUGUAGAGGUGAAAUUCGUAGAUAUUCGGAGGAACACCGGUGGCGAAGGCGGCUUCCUGGCAUGUAACUGACACUCAUGUUCGAAAGCGUGGGUAGCAAACAGGAUUAGAUACCCUGGUAGUCCACGCCCUAAACGAUGGGCACUAGGUGUGGGAGGUAUCGACCCCUUCCGUGCCGCAGCUAACGCAUUAAGUGCCCCGCCUGGGGAGUACGGCCGCAAGGUUGAAACUCAAAGGAAUUGACGG